GUGAGUUUUAACAAAGAGAUUUUGGGAGGGACCAUCCAGCCAAAGAGGUAGCGGAAAACAGGGUUAUUGCCAAAAGGAAUGAUAUCCUGGAGUUCCCAGAAAAUACUACGUGUAUGUCUGUGGUAAUAAUGUCUUGAGGGGAUGUAUUCAAUUCCAGUCUUAUUGGCUUUCAGAUACUUCUCGACGUGCUUGAAGAACCAUGGCUUGUAGUAGUUGCCAAUUCUGUUUAUCUUGCUCGGUUCAGCUUCAUCAGUCAAGACUCCCGUCAUGAUGACAGCUUCUUCCAACGAAUACACAAGUCCUUCCACAAAACUAUUCUCCUUGUUCUUAGACUCUUCAGUAAACUUCUCACAAAUAC
rnacentral:lncRNA from 1 species